AGAUAACUUAAGAGGCAACUCUUAACUGGCCAUCUAGGGAAAAACCGAGAGGUUCAAGACUAGAGGGCAGAAAACUCUGCAAAGCAGCGCUAAACAUGCAGAGCGGCGGGUUCGGCGGUAGCGCAUACAACGACGAACCAA
rnacentral:ncRNA from 1 species